rnacentral:rRNA from 1 species
CGCGUGGGAAUAUGCCCUAUGGUACGGAACAACAGUUGGAAACGACUGCUAAUACCGUAUGUGCCCUUCGGGGGAAAGAUUUAUCGCCAUAGGAUUGGCCCGCGUUAGAUUAGCUAGUUGGUGAGGUAAGAGCUCACCAAGGCGACGAUCUAUAGCUGGUUUGAGAGGAUGAUCAGCCACACUGGGACUGAGACACGGCCCAGACUCCUACGGGAGGCAGCAGUGGGGAAUAUUGGACAAUGGGGGCAAUCCUGAUCCAGCCAUGCCGCGUGUGUGAAGAAGGCCUUAGGGUUGUAAAAC